AGGGAUUUCUUUUGCACAAGCAACUAUGCGAUAUGUGUUGAAACUCCUUUACCUGUGUGUAAAUGCAGACAAAACCAGGGAAGGAGGCCUGAAAGCAGCAAUCAGAUGAAACCUUGUCAAUGCUGUAAGAAAUUCAUCCCACAGUGAUGAGAGGUAACACCCAGUUAUCUGGAGCACACGUGGAAAGAACUGACUGGAAUAUACAGCAGGAGGGAUGAGGGAGGUGAACUUCCAGUCUUGGUCCUGGGCUGAACAAGAUUUCUUAACUCUACAUUAUGAAACAAGAGGGCAGUGAAAUGGUCUCUGCUAACACACACCACCCUUCCCUUUUUCUGUAUGCUUCUCUUGAUAUAAGCCACUCCCUUUCCUGUGUCCUUCCCUGACUCACUGCUCUUUGCUGUGGCUGUUCCUCUUCCCUUCCUUCCCCACCUUGGAGUCCUUCAGCCAGCAGAGACGGAUAUUUCAGUAACUGCAGCUAUGCCACUAAACUGUAACUUUCAUUUUUUUUAUUGGGAAACUCAACUGAGAGAUGCCUAAUGAUCCUGGGAGAUGAAUCUCCCAGCACAGUGUAACCUAAUGGAUAUUUAGAGUGGCAAUCUAGUGGGGGAAGUGAAUGAAGCAGUGCUGGAAAUACAGUUGCAACAAAUUUAAAACACUUCUGUUCCCUGUAUCUAUGUUUUACCCAGCUAUUAGUAUCAGCUUAUUCUGUACGCUUAGCUGGCUCUUCUCUUCCUCCUUAAAAUCCCUCUCAGAAGCUCCUUGCUGCAGCCCCGUUUGCCAAUUAGCCUCUUGUUCCUGUUGUGCGCAGUGUUUAGGAGAAUUCAGUAUUUUGUGUUCUGUCUGUGGAACAAACCACCCUGCUUUUCUCUUGCACCCUAGGAGGAUCUCUGGCAUACCAGAACUGCAGUUUGGCUGCCUCCCACCUAUGACUGAACUGCAGGUGGUGGUCAGAGGCCACAGUGACUUGAUGGCCUUUUGGUCCUUUUUUGUCAUGUCACCAACAUACAGUUGCAUCUGUAUCCUUACCAGCCCCUGGCUUAGGGGGUCUUUCACCAUCUUUCCUUCACCAGAGCCAUAACAUUGCUUCAUUUAUCAGUAAAACAGAAUCAACAAAACAUUUUCCUUUUCCACUCACUGAGCUGCACAAGAUGAUGGAUGGGGGAGAGGCUUCUUUGAGCCAGCAUGUCACAGACUGUGGGGUUGUUUUGUUGCUUCUUGGGAGUGAACAUGGACCCUGAAGUGAAGACUCUCACUCCUUUCACUUUGGUCUAAUUGAACUAAUGCCCUCUUUGGGGUUUCAUGGAAGAGAAAAUGUUGUAGGUGAAAAAAAAUUCCCAAUGUGGCUGGCUUUUUCUCUACAGAAGCUCUUACCUGUCUUGCACCAAUCCACCUUCACAUACAUGACUUGAGGUGAGGGACAACAGAAUUCAAGUAGCACGUAGUCAAUUCUACUAGCAUACGUGGAGAAAAUCAAAGUAAUUGUGAAAGAGUUGGAUUCAUUCUUAUAAACUGAAUAAAUAUGUAUUUAACCAUAGCUUUAUGGUCUGGCCAGCAGCAAAGAGUUGGAGUAGAUGGUUGGGGAGGGGAAAUUAUUGUAAAUUGAAAAUGUUUUAGUCUCUGUAGGUUUGGAAUACAAAGGGGGAAGGAGCAGUUUUUUCAUCCUUAAGGUGAAAAGAUGGUCUAUUCCUAAGCUACAUUAACUCAUAGAGCUAACCACUCAUUCUUCCACAUUUUGAUGCAUUCCUUUUUGUUCUUUCAAAAUCCCUCAUCCACUGUCUGUUAAACCAGAUCAACUGGGCUGCUGAUACGUAAAUUUGUAACCAUAAUCAUUUGGUGUUAAAAUUAUCUCUUUUUCUUGUACCUUUUUCUUGUACCUUCAUGGUUCAAAGCUGCAUCUUUAUACUGUUGCUUGUAGUCAUGGAACUGUAAUUUGCAUAUUGAAAAAUAAAAUUGGGGUGAUGUUUAA